GAUGAACGCUGGCGGCGUGCUUAACACAUGCAAGUCGAACGAGAAGUGAAGACGGAACCCUUCGGGCGGAAGGCUUUAUUUCGAGUGGCGGACGGGUGAGUAACGCGUGGGUAACCUGCCUCAUACAGGGGGAUAACAGUUGGAAACGACUGUUAAUACCGCAUAAGACCACAGCACCGCAUGGUGCGGGGGUAAAAACUCCGGUGGUAUGAGAUGGACCCGCGUUCGAUUAGCCAGUUGGCGGGGUAACGGCCCACCAAAGCGACGAGCGAGAGCCGAUCUGAGAGGAUGACCGGCCACCUUGGGACUGAGGCACGGCCCAAACUCCUACGGGAGGCAGCAGUGGGGAAUAUUGCACAAUGGGGGAAACCCUGAUGCAGCGGCGCCGCGUGAGUGAAGAAGUAUUUCGGUAUGUAAAGCUCUAUCAGCAGGGAAGAAAAUGACGGUACCUGAGUAAGAAGCCCCGGCUAACUACGUG
rnacentral:rRNA from 1 species